rnacentral:rRNA from 1 species
UCUCUCUGAAUCUGCGAACGGCUCCGCAUACCAGUUGUAAACCAUAGCGAGCAAAUCGNGUCGGCGUCGCAAGGCGCCUUCGCGGUUAAUAGGGAUAACCCUGGUAAUUCUGAGGCUAAUACAAGAACGUACAACCCGUNCCGACCCGCAAGGGAAGGGCGGGGAAUGUGUGACCAGGCACGCAAAUUCGAAACUGGGAGUGGCCACACGUUCAGACCGCCAUACCAAACGGUCGUUCGCUUCGAAAGUCCUCGUGACGAGUNAGCGGUGGACUUCUGGGCGGCUCUCGCUGUGUGCUUCUGACCUAUCAACUAGAUGGCAGCGUAACGGACAUGCUAUGGUAACAACGGGUACAGAGGAUAAGGGUUCGAUCCUGGAGAGUGGGCCUGAGAGAUU